rnacentral:rRNA from 1 species
CAGUAGCCGCGGUAAUACGAGGGGGGGCUAGCGUUGUUCGGAAUUACUGGGCGUAAAGCGCGCGUAGGCGGACAUUUAAGUCAGGGGUGAAAUCCCGGGGCUCAACCCCGGAACUGCCUUUGAUACUGGAAGUCUUGAGUAUGGUAGAGGUGAGUGGAAUUCCGAGUGUAGAGGUGAAAUUCGUAGAUAUUCGGAGGAACACCAGUGGCGAAGGCGGCUCACUGGACCAUUACUGACGCUGAGGUGCGAAAGCGUGGGGAGCAAACAGGAUUAGAUACCCCAGUAGUCCCUGUCUCUUAUA